CGUCGACGGAGGUGCCGGUGGCCUCGGCGGCGCUGGCGGCGACGCCGGGGCGGGGGGCGCAAGCGGUCAGUUCGGCACCGGCGGAGGCGAC
rnacentral:tRNA from 1 species